rnacentral:rRNA from 1 species
GACGAACGCUGGCGGCGUGCCUAAUACAUGCAAGUUGAGCGCUGAAGGUUGGUACUUGUACCAACUGGAUGAGCAGCGCACGGGUGAGUAACGCGUGGGGAAUCUGCCUUUGAGCGGGGGACAACAUUUGGAAACGAAUGCUAAUACCGCAUAAAAACUUUAAACACAAGUUUUAAGUUUGAAAGAUGCAAUUGCAUCACUCAAAGAUGAUCCCGCGUUGUAUUAGCUAGUUGGUGAGGUAAAGGCUCACCAAGGCGAUGAUACAUAGCCGGCCUGAGAGGGUGGUCGGCCACAGUGGGACUGAGACACGGCCCAAACUCCUACGGGAGGCAGCAGUAGGGAAUCUUCGGCAAUGGACGAAAGGCUGACCGAGCAACGCCGCGUGAGUGAAGAAGGGUUUCGGAUCGUAAAACUCUGUUGGUAGAGAAGAACGUUGGUGAGAGUGGAAAGCUCAUAAAGUGACGGUAACUACCCAGAAAGGGACGGCUAACUACGUG